AUUGAACGCUGGCGGCAUGCCUUACACAUGCAAGUCGAACGGCAGCACGGGAGCAAUCCUGGUGGCGAGUGGCGAACGGGUGAGUAAUAUAUCGGAACGUGCCCAGUAGUGGGGGGAUAGCCCGGCAAAGCCGGAUUAAUACCGCAUACGACCUGUGGGUGAAAGCGGGGGAUCGCAAGACCUCGCGCUAUUGGAGCGGCCGAUAUCAGAUUAGCUAGUUGGUGGGGUAAAGGCCUACCAAGGCGACGAUCUGUAGCUGGUCUGAGAGGACGACCAGCCACACUGGGACUGAGACACGGCCCAGACUCCUACGGGAGGCAGCAGUGGGGAAUUUUGGACAAUGGGCGCAAGCCUGAUCCAGCCAUGCCGCGUGUGGGGAAG
rnacentral:rRNA from 1 species